CAGAGAUCAUCAUCUGGAAGAAGCUGAGCAUUGUGGAAGCUGCUCUUCAAGGCUCAGGUGCUGGAUGAAUGGAGUUGGGGACAUGACAGAGUGAGAGCACUGGCUGUAUCACAUUCUCCUCCUCAAACUUUCUACCUAUGGGACAGGAAACAGGGUUUGCCACAGAAACUGCCUCUGAGGAGACUGGACUAGAACUUUCACGAUGGCAUAAAAGGGCUGCACAUCCUGUCAGCAGGGCUGUCCGUCUGAAAGGCAGCCAGCUACUCACGUUUUUGCAGGCAUUGAGGACUUCCUUCACCAUCUUACCUGGUCUAUCCCACUGAUCUGGGUAUCUUCCAUCUGAAUCCACUUACCUAGUUCCUGGUUCUAGUCGUGAUUGCCAACACCAGCAGUCUCCUGGUUCCAACACAGUGAAGGUCCUGAGCUCCUCCUGUCCCCGGUAACCACUGGGUGCACAGUUGCAGGUCCAGGUCCCUACGAACCCAAGCAACGGAGAGACUGUCACUUAAGACCUGCAGCUAAUCCCACUUGAGAGCCAUCCUUCGAGAUACAGUACAGUUCUGGGAUACCUUGGUUUAGUUUGUUUUGUUAGAAGUGUAAAUUGCCAAGGGUUGUCUUGGGGACUGGGUUUCAGGUCCAUCUUUG